ACUUUAUUUUUGGAGCUCAGUUGGCAGUUGCCUACUGAGUACCAUUCGUUUGGUACUCAUACUACACCUCUGCAGCCUGCAGAUUAUAGUACGAGUUAUCGCUGUUGAUGUGUGCAUCGUGUGGAGUAGCCCUGAUUCGGAAACUUAGAAUGAGCUCCUGACGUUCGGAAUAUUACUUAUCUCUCUCCUAUGUAUUAGACUAGCCUUUAAGUUGAUCAGUGUGUUUCUCCUUGAUAUAUCACUUUUGUACUCUUAUUAUGUUUAGAAGCUCUUUGCCUGAUACCAUCAGGUUUCGGGAUUCACCUAUGUAUUGAUCUUUUUCUCAUAUAUUCCGCAUUCUUUUUUUUAUGUUAUUUAGUAGUCUGUUACUAGCCGUUCCGGACUACAGGUUGGUUUGCCUACUGGUGGGUUAUGGUAGGCGCCAUCAUGACCUGAAAAGUUGGGUUGUGACAAUAGGAUUCAAGAAGAACAACAUAGCAUAGGAAAUGAUGAUCUUGUGGUGCGGAUCCACAAAUUUUACAACUCUGAACCUUAAGGCCAGCGUUCGUUUGAUAUUUGGCCGGCCCCCUCGAUAAGCAAAGAGGCUAAUGCAGAGGAAAGUUUAGCUUUCCCCAGGAAUAGUUCAUCAACUUGGCUAGCAAUUCAGCAAAGGCUAGCAACAGUCGACAAAUUAUCCAGAUGGGGAGCUCCGAUAGCCAAAGACUGUACUUUGUGACACUGGAUUGGAGGAAUCAUUUGCUCACCUCUUCUUUGAUUGCAUAUGCCUUAGCUCAAUCUGGAAGGUUUUAUUGAAGUGGUUAGGUGUUACACGACAUUCCACAUGCUGGGAAACUGAAAUUACAUGGUUGACACAAAGAGCGAAGACUAUAAGACCAAAAGCUGAGAUUCUGAGGUUCCUAAUUCAACGCAACAGUGUACCAUGUCUGGUUGGAAGAAAUACCAGAAGACUCCAAGAAGUUCAGUGAGUGUGUUCAUACAGAUUGAAGGAGCUAGUAGUUCAGCUAGCUAUCAAAGGGAUUCAGCUAGCUAAAUGGAAGCAAUUGCUAGCGGCAUUGAAUAGAUAUCCAGUCUGAGAAAUAGGUUUUCCUGAUGUUGUUUUUUUCUUUUUUUUUUUCCUAGACUAGGAGUGCUUCUAAAAUUUGUGAGGUCUGGUUCCUGGCAUACAUAUGGACUAGGAGUUAUAAAUAGACUAACUUUGUUGAAUACAACUUUCCCUGUUCUUACAAAUAGAAUAAAUCUGUGUUAUUUGUAUGAUUGGUGCUCUGACUGAAAUUAGCUCAGAUUUCUUCAGUGGGAGUGAGCACUUUAUCAA